AUUGAAUUGGGUGUUAUUGAAAGACUUAGAAUUGCAUUGUGACAAAAGGAAAUAAUAGAAAUUGGAAGAAUUUACAAGUGCAACAAACAUUUCUUGAGCUGUUAGUUGAUUUUAUUGUGUGAAACCAAUUUCACUGAAGCUUAAUAUAGUGUGAGAAGAGAAAUCCACAAUUGUCCACAGAGUAGAUGGCAACCCAAACAGUUGCCCCAUCUGAUGGAUAUUUUAAUGGCAAUAUCUGUCAACAUAUUCCUAUCUAUGUUUCCAAGUGAAAACCGUUGUCACUACUGCUUGACAUCAGGCUCCUCGGAGCGGGAUCGAUCUCGGUACCUCUGAUUCAGGUCCUGUAGUUCUAGCCACUU